rnacentral:rRNA from 1 species
CUACGGGGGGCAGCAGUGGGGAAUAUUGGACAAUGGGGGAAACCCUGAUCCAGCAAUGCCGCGUGUGUGAAGAAGGCCUGCGGGUUGUAAAGCACUUUCGGUUGGGAGGACUGCUUCUAGCACUAAUAUUGUUGGAAGUUGACGUUACCUUCAGAAGAAGCACCGGCUACCUCCGUGCCAGCAGCCGCGGGAAUACGGAGGGUGCAAGCGUUAAUCGGAAUUACUGGGCGUAAAGCGCGCGUAGGCGGCUAGAUCAGGCGGGUGUGAAAGCCCCGGGCUUAACCUGGGAACUGCAUCCGAUACUGUCUAGCUUGAGUACAGGAGAGGAGAGUGGAAUUCCACAUGUAGCGGUGAAAUGCGUAGAUAUGUGGAGGAACACCAAUGGCGAAGGCAGCUCUCUGGCCUGAUACUGACGCUGAGGUGCGAAAGCGUGGGGAGCAAACAGGAUUAGAUACCCCUGUAGUC